UACAGAGGGUGCAAACGUUGUUCGGAAUUACUGGGCGUAAAGCGUGCGUAGACGGCUAUCUAAGUCGGGUGUGAAAGCCCCGGGCUCAACCUGGGAAUUGCAUUCGAGACUGAAUAGCUAGGGUACGGUAGAGGGAAGCGGAAUUUCCGGUGUAGCGGUGAAAUGCGUAGAUAUCGGAAGGAACAUCAGUGGCGAAAGCGGCUUCCUGGACCAGUACCGACGUUCAGGCACGAAAGCGUGGGGAGCAAACAGG
rnacentral:rRNA from 1 species